rnacentral:tRNA from 1 species
GAGAUACUAGUAAAAUUUUACAUAACUUUGU